UUUGUAUGUUUUCUCCUGAUCGACCAAAACAGAGCAAACAGAGCUCUCCCUCUUAAACCCUAAGUUCAUCAAAUCCUCUAAAAAUCAAAGAAGGAAAUCGAUUUGCAAUCAAUUCCAAGCUAAAUUCGAGAUCAUUAUAGUUAGGAGAUCACAAGGCAAUUUGGGUGAAUCAUCGAGUGGUCAACGCGGAACGGAUAACCGCUUAAAAGGAAACCUUUAAAGGUACGUGGCUAUAUGCUUCGUAGAUCUUGUAACCAACACAAAUAUGCGGGUGAAGAUCAAGCUGAUGAGAGAACCGAACACGCACACGAAUGAAACUUCCGCAAUUAAAUUAUGUCUUAGGUUACUAAAUACUUUGGUGUUGUUUGCAAAAACUUAAGUAGCACUUUAUAGACAUCUUUUGAACGUUUAAACUUUUGUAAAUAUAGUUUGUAUAGUUUGAACUCUAUGUUAAGACGUAACACCGAAGUUUUUUGAAAAUUUGCAUUUUGAUAUAGAAAUGCACAAGAUAUUAUAUAAAAUAUUCAAUGUUUGUAAGGGUCUUACAUCGAGUUUCAUUAUUCAGACUUUGGCC
rnacentral:lncRNA from 1 species